rnacentral:rRNA from 1 species
ACGCUUCCAGGAAAAGCUCCUAAGCUUCAGCUCACGAAGACCGUACCGUAAACCGACACAGGUGGGUAGGAUGAGAAUUCUCAGGCGCUUGAGAGAACUCGGGUGAAGGAACUAGGCAACAUGGCACCGUAACUUCGGGAGAAGGUGCACCCUUUUUGGUGGCUCAUGCGAGCUAUAGCUGAAGAGGGUCGCAGAAACCAGGCCGCUGCGACUGUUUAUCAAAAACACAGCACUCUGCAAACACGAAAGUGGACGUAUAGGGUGUGACGCCUGCCCGGUGCUGGAAGGUUAAUUGAUGGGGUCAGCCGCAAGGCGAAGCUCUUGAUCGAAGCCCCAGUAAACGGCGGCCGUAACUAUAACGGUCCUAAGGUAGCGAAAUUCCUUGUCGGGUAAGUUCCGACCUGCACGAAUGGCGUAACGACAGCGGCGCUGUCUCCACCCGAGACUCAGUGAAAUUGAAAUCGCUGUGAAGAUGCAGCGUUCCCGUGGCAAGACGGAAAGACCCCGUGAACCUUUACUAUAGCUUUACACUGAACGUUGAGUUCGUCUGUGUAGGAUAGGUGGGAGGCUAUGAAACUGUGGCGCUAGCUGCAGUGGAGCCAUCCUUGAAAUACCACCCUGUCGUGCUUGACGUUCUAACCUAGGUCCGUUAUCCGGAUCAGGGACCGUGUAUGGUGGGUAGUUUGACUGGGGCGGUCUCCUCCUAAAGAGUAACGGAGGAGCACGAAGGUACGCUCAGCGCGGUCGGACAUCGCGCACUGUGUGCAAAGGCAUAAGCGUGCUUGACUGCAAGAUCGACGGAUCAAGCAGGUACGAAAGUAGGUCUUAGUGAUCCGGUGGUUCUGUAUGGAAGGGCCAUCGCUCAACGGAUAAAAGGUACUCCGGGGAUAACAGGCUGAUACCGCCCAAGAGUUCAUAUCGACGGCGGUGUUUGGCACCUCGAUGUCGGCUCAUCACAUCCUGGGGCUGUAGUCGGUCCCAAGGGUAUGGCUGUUCGCCAUUUAAAGUGGUACGCGAGCUGGGUUCAGAACGUCGUGAGACAGUUCGGUCCCUAUCUGCCAUGGGCGUUGGAAGUUUGAGAGGGGCUGCUCCUAGUACGAGAGGACCGGAGUGGACGAACCUCUGGUGUUCCGGUUGUCACGCCAGUGGCAUUGCCGGGUAGCUAUGUUCGGAAGCGAUAACCGCUGAAAGCAUCUAAGCGGGAAGCGCGCCUCAAGAUGAGACUUCCCGGGGCACAAGCCCCCUAAAGGAACCAUGUAGACUACGUGGUUGAUAGGUCAGGUGUGUAAGUACAGCAAUGUAUUGAGCUAACUGAUACUAAUGAUCCGUGCGGCUUGACCAUAUAACCUCA